rnacentral:rRNA from 1 species
GAUGAACGCUGGCGGCGUGCCUAAUACAUGCAAGUCGAGCGAACAGACGAGGAGCUUGCUCCUCUGACGUUAGCGGCGGGCGGGUGAGUAACACGUGGAUAACCUACCUUUAAGACUGGGAUAACUUCGGGAAACCGGAGCUAAUACCGGAUAAUAUAUUGAACCGCAUGGUUCAAUAGUGAAAGACGGUUUUGCUGUCACUUAUAGAUGGAUCCGCGCCGCAUUAGCUAGUUGGUAAGGUAACGGCUUACCAAGGCAACGAUGCGUAGCCGACCUGAGAGGGUGAUCGGCCACACUGGAACUGAGACACGGUCCAGACUCCUACGGGAGGCAGCAGUAGGGAAUCUUCCGCAAUGGGCGAAAGCCUGACGGAGCAACGCCGCGUGAGUGAUGAAGGUCUUCGGAUCGUAAAACUCUGUUAUUAGGGAAGAACAAAUGUGUAAGUAACUAUGCACGUCUUGACGGUACCUAAUCAGAAAGCCACGGCUAACUACGUG